rnacentral:rRNA from 1 species
UACGUAGGGGGCAAGCGUUGUCCGGAAUUAUUGGGCGUAAAGCGCGCGCAGGCGGCUAUUUAAGUCUGGUGUUUAAACCUUGGGCUCAACCUGAGGUCGCACUGGAAACUGGGUGGCUUGAGUACAGAAGAGGAAAGUGGAAUUCCACGUGUAGCGGUGAAAUGCGUAGAUAUGUGGAGGAACACCAGUGGCGAAGGCGACUCACUGGACAUGUAUUGACGCUGAGGUGCGAAAGCGUGGGGAGCAAACAGG